CUACGGGGUGCUGCAGUGGGGAAUAUUGCACAAUGGGCGAAAGCCUGAUGCAGCAACGCCGCGUGAGCGAUGAAGGCCUUCGGGUCGUAAAGCUCUGUCCUCAAGGAAGAAUUUUGACGGUACUUGAGGAGGAAGCCCCGGCUAACUACGUGCCAGCAGCCGCGGUAAUACGUAGGGGGCUAGCGUUAUCCGGAAUUACUGGGCGUAAAGGGGCGUAGGUGGUCUGACAAGUCAGGGGUGAAAGGCUACGGCUCAACCGUAGUAAGCCCUUGAAACUGUCGGACUUGAGUGCAGGAGAGGAAAGUGGAAUUCCCAGUGUAGCGGUGAAAUGCGUAGAUAUUGGGAGGAACAUCAGUGGCGAAGGCGACUUUCUGGACUGUAACUGACACUGAGGCACGAAAGCGUGGGGAGCAAACAGGAUUAGAUACCCGAGUAGUC
rnacentral:rRNA from 1 species